rnacentral:rRNA from 1 species
UAUUUCCUACGGGGGGCAGCAGUAGGGAAUCUUCCACAAUGGGCGAAAGCCUGAUGGAGCAACGCCGCGUGGGUGAAGAAGGUCUUCGGAUCGUAAAACCCUGUUGUUAGAGAAGAAAGUGCGUGAGAGUAACUGUUCACGUUUCGACGGUAUCUAACCAGAAAGCCACGGCUAACUACGUGCCAGCAGCCGCGGUAAUACGUAGGGGGCAAGCGUUAUCCGGAAUUAUUGGGCGUAAAGAGUACGUAGGCGGUUCUUUAAGCGUAUGGUCUAA